UACGGGGGGAGCAAGCGUUGUUCGGAUUUACUGGGCGUAAAGGGCGCGUAGGCGGCCAGCACAAGUCAGUUGUGAAAUCUCCGAGCUUAACUCGGAAAGGUCAACUGAUACUGUGCGGCUAGAGUGCAGAAGGGGCAACUGGAAUUCUUGGUGUAGCGGUGAAAUGCGUAGAUAUCAAGAGGAACACCUGCGGCGAAGGCGGGUUGCUGGGCUGACACUGACGCUGAGGCGCGAAGCUAGGGGAGCGAACGGG
rnacentral:rRNA from 1 species